GGUAAGUGAGGUUAUCACCUUUGAUGACACCAACCAUGGAUGCUGGAGGAGAAAGCAGGACCCUCCACCCCAUAUCUGUGCCCGUCGCCAGAUGAGACUUGAUGGGGUGAUCUACUUCUUGAUGGAUUUUUACCCCACAUACUGUAAUACUGGGGUUUUAAUCACUGAGCCUGGUAGCAUAGCUUCCUUCAACCUUGAGACAGAGGAGUGGGGUGUUCUACCUGGUCCAGAACAGGUACAGAGGUUUGUGCAAGAGAACGAUGAUUACGGUUACGCAGAACUUGACCUCCAGUUAUCAUUGGCUGAGUUGGACGGCUGCUUAGUUAUGGUUCAGAAUAUUCAUUACGAAUCUAUGGACUUGUGGUUUUUGACAGAUUCUGAGAAAGGUAUCUGGGUUAAGAAAUACAGCUUGCCUUCACAUGUUGCUGAGCUUAAUAGGUAUCCUUUUCUGAUGUUAGAUGAUGGGACAAUUUUCUUCAGUGGGUCGAAUGGUUUACAAGGUUUAUUCAGUGCUGGAGAGCAAGGAGACGGAUUUCUGCUAAGUUAUGAUCUAAGAAACGACACUUAUGGUUAUGCACUAAAACUGAGAGGUUCCCAAUCCAUUGGCAUUUACACAGGAAGCCUGCUGAGUUUAUAGAGUAGCUGUUCACCUUAUGUUCUAAAUGUGAACAGUUAAUGAGACAAUGUUCUGAUGCGUGCGUUGAUGAAAACAUAAGUGUGCCUUCAAAGUAUAUUAUGUUCAUCUCUGAUACAUUUUGCAUGAGAAGAUUUGUAGUUUUUGUUCGUUCCAUUUUGUAUGGCAUUGUCUGGAGUUUGGUCAAUGUGUUACCAAACAAACUUCUGAAUGUGGUGUUUCAAAAUAUAUUAUGCUGCUCCUAGCUGCAGGAAUGCAUAAUUUGUUCCUUUCUUGGAACAUAUAAUGAUUUGCUAGGUAAUGUCAUGCACAGUAACAUGUUUCAUGAACUGGUCUUUACUCUUUUGAUACUUGUCUCAAAUUUAUGUCGUCCUUGAAUGUUCAAUGCUACCUGGUGUACAUCAGUAUCACUGAGUCACAUCUUCUGUUUAACUUGAGGCUGCUUUCUUUUGCUGAAUUUUGUGCUUGUAGUUCACCUUCUGCUCCAGUUUUGAAGGGAGAAAAAUCUCGUAGCUAAGGAACCCAGGCCACUGCUCUGUGAGCGGCUCAUAUCGAGUGAACAUUCGAAAACAAUUUCACUGGCUGUGGUAAAAUUGACAGGCUCUCAACUUUACCGCUUCCAGGUAAAAUGGAAAGGAUGGUAGGGAGCUCUUCUGUGACAAAUAUAGAAUUAUAGACCCAACUCUGAAGAUCAAGGCUUAAUGUACGGAUACUUGGAUUUUGUGCUGUGGGCUAGUUGAAUACUUGGAUUUUACUUAUUUUGGUCUUGUGAUUGGUCUUUCUAGUGUUUUGGUCUUCCAUUUUUAGAUCUGCACAUAUGUGAGUGCCUUUUAAAACAUGUCUCUUUUUAUUCGGGAUGAUUUUGUGUGUGUGUGUGAAUUAGGAUGAAACUUAACAUAUAUUUAGUACUGAAGAAACUCAGAAAAAAUUCAAAGAACGACUUAGUUACGUUUGGUAUACUAGUAACUGUGUGCGUGCAAUGCACUUCUUGAAAGAGAAUUUAUCUUUUAACAUCCAAUGGAAUUCAUGCCUAACUUUCCAUGAACGAAUAAAAUAGUCUGACUAAUCAAGCUUUUAGUACCUAAAGUCAUCAAUCAACUUCUAGAAAACAUGUUUUAUCUUGCAUCUGGAAACGCACAAUCUUUCAAAUAUAACUCUGUCCGACAAUGGUUGGCCUCCUGGUGAAUGGAGGCUGGAAAUCUUUGCAUCUUAUUGGAUGUGAUGUGUAGGUUGUAGUCAAUUGAUGCCAAUCAAAUGUAUAGUGUUUGGUACAAGGUCAAAGGGUAUCUAGAAAAGGUGAAUGACGAUGCACAGGUACGUUAGUCGAUGGUUUUCCUGAAGCUCACUAGUUACUUCAACUUCCCGGUCAUGCUACACCAUUUCUUUGUCUUCCAUUACCCAGUCAAACACAAGUUAUUGACCUGGUAUGCAUAGGCCUAAGGCUGAUCCAAAUUGCAGAACGCUCGCGCAUCUGAUCAAGUGACAAAAACAUCAAUAACUUGUGUCAUUAUAAUGUCUUGUUAUUCAUUAUAUUCCAUCACUCUAUAGUGUGGAUGUAUACAAAUAAAAAUAUUAACAGGUUACCCUUGGAAUAUUAACAUGUCGAUCCAAGACCCUCAGAAGGUUCCUUGCAAUGAACUAAUACUUUUGGUGGCAUUUUCUCAUGGAAAAUAUAACAAGAUUAAACCCCAAAAAAAAGAGAGAAAUUGCGAAGAUUUCCAUCAGGAAAAAGGGAAAGAAUGAAACAAAAAUAGUAAUGAAACAACUUUUCUUAUUUCAUAUUUCACAAUUGGCUAUUACAGAAGGGGAACUACAAUAUAUGAUUUCGUUCCUUUCUUUUCUAAUAAUAAUGUGACUGCAUACAUCCUUGAUGUCUGGACUAGUUCUUCAUAUUUUAUUGGUGUAGGGGCCGAAUAUAAAUUGGUAUACAUUUGAUAUUAAAAAUAGUAAGUAAUUUAUAUUUUAGUAGUUAAAAUCAUGGUCAAAUAUGACCCUAAACACGAGGUGGACUAGAACCAGGACGGAGGUAGUAGUGGAAUACUUGGAUUUUAUGGUUUUUGGUGUUGUGACUCUUUCAUUUCUUCCUGUCGUCGCAUGAAUCUCGGCGCACAGCCGACACUACGUAAGAUCGCUAGAGUGGUUCGCCGUUCAGCUGCUUCUGAUGAACGCGUACCUUUUAUUUUUCAAAAAUUCGUGAGGCGAGGGGUUCACACCCGUGACCUCCUGGGCGUGCACGGGUGCCCAGCGCCACUGGGCUGAGAUGGCCUUUUAUGAAUCUUUUGUGUUUAAAAUACCACAUAUAUUUUACAACCCUGAAAAAACAGAUUUUUUUUUCAUUUUAUGGCAGUUUUAUUUUAUAUAGCAUUUCUUAGGAGGAUGGCAAUUUUUCUGAGAGAUGGCAUUUUUUAUUUUAAUGUCAUGGCAGUUUUAUUACUAAGCGCAUGACAUUUUUAUGGACAAUAUAAUGACAUUUUUAUCAAUAAUAGGAUGGCAUUUUUAUUAUUGAGAGAUGGCAUUUUUAUUUUUAGUGCAUGGCAGUUUCAUUACUAAGUGCAUGAAAUUUUUAUUAACAAUAGGAUGGAACUUUUAUCAAUAAUAUGAUGGCAUUUUUUUUAUUAUAAAUAGGAUGGAUUUUUUUAAUGUUUUAAAGGAUUGUAUUUUUUAUUUUUAAUGGCAUGAAAAUUUUAUUUGUGGGUCGUAUUCACAUAAAAUAUUAAGUAUAAGAUUUGUAGUUUUAUAAAGUAGCACGACAAUUUUCUUUCAAAGUGUGAAAUUUUCUGAAGUUAUAUUUUUGUGUUUAUCUCAUGGCAUUCUUAUCCGAAGGAUGGCACUUUCAAAGUAUUAGCAUGGUAAUUUUUAUUUUUAUAAUUUUGUGCCUUUUUUUGUUCAUGGCAUUUUUACCCGAGAAUGCUAGUUUCAAAGUAUUAGCAUGGUAAUUUUUAUUUUAUGUUUUUGUCCUUUUAUGGUAUUUUAAGCUAGAGGAUGACAUUUUUUUAGUGGAUGUCAAUUUUUUAGUUUAGCAUGGCAAAAAAAUCUAGAUCACUCAAACUUUUUUGUUUGAUUUAAACUUAUAAUGUGGCAAUUAAAAACACUUUAACUAAGCCUUUUGGGUCUGGGGGGUCGCGCUGGGCUUGCCUGCCGGCGAACGAGCGAAAACUGUCGCGGGGAGCUGCUCCCCGGCGAACGAUUCGUUUGAUGUGGGUAGCUCCGUGAUGAUCGAACACUAGAUAUUAGGGUCCUUCAUUUUUAGAUCUGCACUUCCGUGGAUGCCUUCUAGAACAUGUUCUCUUCUUUUUUGGGGGUGGGGUGGGGGGUGGGGGUGUGAAAUCAGAACAUAUAUAUUAUGUACUAUGUACUGGAGAAACUUGGAAUAUAGCAAGAUUAGACAAAAAUACAAAAAGAUAAAGAAAAUUGUGAACCAAUAUAGGUUCCGUGCAGGUAAGAAGAACAAGAUUGAAACAACAACAAUGAUUCAUCAGCUUUGCUUGUUUCAUAAUGGCUAUUACAGAAGGGGAAUUACAGUAUUGACAUGUAUUCUUUUCUUUUUUAAUAAUGUGGUUGUUUACUUUCUCAAUGCUGGACUAGUUUUUUUUUGUUGAUAAUUUCUCUCUUCCUUUAUUCCAUCAAAACGAUUGUAUCACUUACAAGGAAGGAGAUAAGCUCAUCUGGUGGCGAAUCCAUCCAGACACUAGGAGUAGAGUACUUAGCUAAUUUAGCUUGUUCAUGAGCAGCCUGAUUACAAUCUCUAUUACGAUGCUCAAACAAGACAUGGUUAAAAUAUAACUUCAUGAAGAAACAAUCAUCAAUAAUAACCCGACCACUGGAGCUACUAUCGCCUUGCCCGUGAGCUUCUCAGAGGAUGGGGGCAAAUAAAUUGGCCCCAUCCUCAUCCACCCGACCACAAAAGAAGCACUUUGGUGUUGUCUAGUUUAACCCCACGGUUCAUCAGGUUGAUACAAAGAGGUAGGGAACUAUGAUUCAGACGCCAGACGAACAAUCUGAUGUUCUGCGGGCAAGGCAAGGACCAUAUGCGUUUGUAUCAUCCGAUGGAAUUAAUGCCUGCUAUAACUCUUUUCGUUUAACGAAUAAGAUAAUUGACUCCAAUCUAGCUUUUGGUAGUACCUAAAAUCAUCAAUCAAUUUCUAAAAAACUUGCUCUGUUCUUGCAUCUUCAAAUUUACAAUCUAUCUGGGCAAGAAUGGUUGGCCUCCUGGUGAAUGGAAGCUGGAAAUCCUUGCAUCUUAUUGGGGUGAUGUAGGUUGUAGUCAAUUGGUGCCAAUCAAAUGUAUACUUCUUGGUACAAGGUCAAAAGGUAUCUAUAAAAGGUGCAGGUGAAUGACGAUUAACAUGUAGGAUAAUCGACGGCUUACCCGCAGUUCAUUAGUUACUUGAACCUCCCAAUCAUGUCUCCAUUCCACAGUCAAGCAAAGGUUGUUGACCUGGUAUGUAUAGGCUUGAGGCCGAUCCAAAUUGCACGUAUUUGAUCUUGUGACAACAACAUCAGUGCUUACCUCGGAAGUCAUCUAAUGUCUUCAUAUUCAUAAUAUUUUCCAUCCUACUUGUUGGUCUGGAUGUAUAGAAGUAAAAAUAAUAAUAGCUUAAUCCUGGAAUCUUAACAUGUCAAUCCAAAACCCUCGGAAAGCUCCUUGCAAUGAACUACUCCCUCCGUCCCAUAAUAUAAGAACGUUUUUGACACUAAAACGUUCUUAUAUUAUGGAGUGUCAAAAAUGUUCUUAUAUUAUGGGACAGAGGAAGUAAUAUUUUUUGACAUUUCCUCAAGGAAAAGAUAGCAAGGUUGGGCAAAAAUAUAUUAAAAAGAUUAAGAAACGGCGAACAUAUAUACAUUUCCGGCCGGUGAAAAGAAAAAAGAUGGAAUCAAAAAUAAAUAUGUAUUAAAAAUAUUCAUCAUUUAUCUUGAAAGAGUUUGUCGGGUAUUUUAAAACUGUUCAUCACGUACUUUAAAGAAAAUCAUUGACUAUUUUAAAAUCACCCGUUAUUUAGAAAAUGUUUGUGCUGUGUAUUUAUAAAGUCCUUAUCAUGUUUUUUUAAUACAUUUAAAAAAGACCUAUUUCUUAAACUUCAUGAACAUUUUUUAAGUACGUGGACACUUAUUAAAAUAAAAAAUUAUAGUUUGUGAACACUGAUUAAAAAUACAUACCCAAUACCACUCUUUAUAAUUCGUGAACACUAAUUAAAAGUAUAAUUUAUAUAAACAUUUAUAAAAAUAGAUAAAAAAAUGAAGGAAAAAUUGUGAGAAGAAAAAUGAAAGAGAAAAGGGAAAGAAAAAACCUGCUCCCCCCAAACAAAAAUGAAAGAGAAAACGGAAACAAAAAAGGGUAGUACUCUGCGCCGGCGCACCGGUCGAAAGUUUCGGCCGGUUUGGCCAGAUCUGUUCGAUCUAUACGCGCAGNNNNNNNNNNNNNNNNNNNNNNNNNNNNNNNNNNNNNNNNNNNNNNNNNNNNNNNNNNNNNNNNNNNNNNNNNNNNNNNNNNNNNNNNNNNNNNNNNNNNNNNNNNNNNNNNNNNNNNNNNNNNNNNNNNNNNNNNNNNNNNNNNNNNNNNNNNNNNNNNNNNNNNNNNNNNNNNNNNNNNNNNNNNNNNNNNNNNNNNNNNNNNNNNNNNNNNNNNNNNNNNNNNNNNNNNNNNNNNNNNNNNNNNNNNNNNNNNNNNNNNNNNNNNNNNNNNNNNNNNNNNNNNNNNNNNNNNNNNNNNNNNNNGUCAACCUCCCGCACGGGGAAAAAGGAGAGGAAGGAGAGCGCCGCCCCCGCACCCGGCAGCGAGCCGCCACCGGCGUUCCCGCGCUGUGCUUGCAACCUCGUCGCCGCCGUACGCAUCCCUCAUCGUCACCGUCGUGUUCUUUGCAGCUCCUCGCCAUGGCGGGUCACCGCUCUGACAUCACGACUAUGUAGCACCGGCCGGCAGCGGUUGCACCUCGCCACCCCAUGGUUGCAACACCAGGUGAGGGCCCCCGACCGCCCUCGUCGACCCUUGCCGCCGGGUGCAUGCCGCUCGCAUCACCGUCAUCUCCUAGGUCGCCACUUUCAUCUGCCGCCAUCGAAGCAAAAAAACUCACCGGUGAAAGCUUUGCAGGUUGCCGACUGCAACAAAAUAAGAGCUACGGACUACGGUGGUAGGUUGAAGCAAAAUCAAAAAAGCUUCUAGCAAACGUGAACGUCGUUCCAGCUUUUGUUUUUGUCGGUUGCAACAUUUUACGGUGUCGCCGGCGAGGGUGUAAGAGCCCCGGUGGUCGAAGCAAAAUUAAAAAACGCUUCCAGCAAACGUGAGCACCCGUUCUAGCUUUUGUUUUUGCCGGUUGCCAACAUUUUACACUUGAACGUCGCCUGGCCCAUACCGCGGCGCCGUAGGCGAGUCCGUGCUCCCCCCAAACCCUCGACCACUGCAGUGGCCGCUUUCCCCUCCGCCCUCCUCGUCCACGGCGCUCGCCCCGCCGCCAGGCUGCUCGCCGCCGGCGCUCUCGGUAAGGCCAAGUACUCCUCGGCACAGACCCAUCUGAAUCCACCUUUUAUUUUGCGCCCUUCCUAGCUCACCCACGGCAUCUACUACUCACCACAGCCGACGGCGAUGUCGUGUUCGGAGCUGCGCCUGCGCCCCGCCACCCCCUUCUCCGGCGACCUUCCUGCGGACUCGCUGUACGAGGUCCUCCUCCGCCUCCCGGCCAAGGAGCUCUGCCGCCUCCGCGCCGUCUGCCCCGCCUGGCGCGCCCUCACCUCCGACCCGCUCUUCAUCGCGGCGCACAAGUCCCGCCACCGCACGGCGCCCCCGCUCCUCGCCAUGGCCUACCGCGACGACAGUGGGGUCAACGGCGUUGAGAUUUCGGAUUUGUCCGGCAAUGUGGUGAAGCGGAUACCAAGCGCCGGGUAUGAAAUUGUUCUGGUGGACGGGUUGUCAGGGGUUGCCAGUGGGCGGAUGUCAAGCAAGCACGAUACCAUCCGUGUUGCGCGCACGCGGCUUGACCUUGUUUGUUUCAACUGGAGCUUCUGCUCUGGGGACUUCUGGGUGCUGAACCCGGCCACCGGAGAUACCAUCACCUUGCCGAGGGGCUUCUCGGAGGAAUUGGCACAUGAGCUAGAAGCAAAGGGGAUAAAGGAAUGGUGCUGCGGAGUCAAGUCCUAUGCUUUUGGGCAGGUCUCCUCUACCAGAGAGUACAAGGCGCUCCGCGUCUCUGAAAUUGGUGACCGAAAGGUAUGUGAGGUUAUCACCUUUGAUGCCACCAAACAUGGAAGCUGGAGGAGAAAGCAGGACCCUCCGCCAUCCCUUAUCUCUCCCUGUCACAAGAUAUUGAGGAGAUGUGUGGUCGUUGAUGGGGUGGUGUACUUCUUGAUGGACUUUUCCUCCACAUACUUUGAAACUGGGGUUAUGACCAUUGAGCCUGGUAGCGUAGCUUCGUUCAACCUCGAGACAGAAGAGUGGCGUGUUCUACGUGGCCCAGAACAGGUGCAGAGGUUUGUGCAAGAGAACGAGGAUUCCGAUUACUUGAUACUUGAACUCGAGUUAUCAUUGGCUGAGUUGAACGGCUGCUUAGUUAUGGUUCAUAGUAUUCAUAAAGCAUCUAUGGACUUGUGGUUUUUGACAGAUUUUGAGAAAGAUACCUGGGUUAAGAAAUACAGCAUGCCUUCAUCACAUGUUGCUAGGUUUGGGUAUCCUUUUCUGAUGUUAGAUGAUGGGAGAAUUUUCUUUACUCGGUCGGAUUAUCUACAAUGUUUAGCUGGUGCUGAGGGAUUUCUGCAAGGUUAUAAUCCAAGAAAUGGCACUUAUGCUGAUGCUCUAAAACUGAGAGAUUCCGAAUCCAUUGGCAUUUACACGGGAAGCCUGCUGAGUUUAUAGAGUAGAUGUCACUAAUGAGGUGAAUAAUGCAUCGUACUGGCUGUUUACCUUAUGUAGUAAAUGUGAACAAUUAGUGAGACAAUGUUUUGAUGCAUGCAUCGAUGAAAAUGUACUUUUGUGCCUUCAACGUAUAUUGUGUUAAUCUCCGAUACAUUUUGCAUGAGAAGGUUUGCAGUUGUUGUUCGUUCCAUUUUGUAUGGCAAUUUCAGGAGUUUGGCCAAUGAGUUGCUAUAUUGCUGUAUGCAUAUAGCAGUCAGUUUGUAACAAACUAGCUUUUAAUGUGGUGUUUCAAAAUAUAAUAUGCUGCUCUAGUGCAACAUACGGGUACAGGAAUGCAUAGUUUGUUCCUUUCAUGGAACAGAAUUAUGAUUUGCUAGGUAAAGUCAUACACAAUAACAUGUUCUGUGAAAGUGAUCUCUACUCUUUGAUUCUUGUCUCACAUUUAUCUUGUCCUUGAAUGUUCAAUGCUACCUGGUGUCACUGAGUCACAUCUCUCUGUUUUUCUUCUGCUCCGUGUCUACUUUCAUUUGUCCCCACUUUCUUUUACUGAAUUUUGUGCUUGUAGCCGGCUCAAGUUUUGAAGGCACAAAAAUUUAAAGACUCGUGAUGAAUCUAUUUGCUGCUCUUAGCUUGGGAAGCCAGGACGCCGUGUUUCAUGGGCGGCUCAUAUCAAGUGAAUAUUUGAAAAGAGGUUCAGGUAAUCUCCGGCUGUACAGCUUCUCUUCUCCAUUGCUUCCUUGUAAUUGUAAAAUGCAGAGGAUGACAGGGAGCUCUUCCGCGGCAAGGAUGGCUUGCUGUACAGAGAGUGUUUUGGUCUUUUGUGCUGGGAGCUAGUUGGAUACCUGGAUUUUGUGGAUUUUGGUCUUGUGACUGGCAGACUCUUUCAUCCUUUUUUUUAACAUGACUCUUUCAUCUUUGGAGCUGCUCUUCUGUGGAUGCCUUUUAGAUUGUCUAUUUUCUCUUGGGGAUGAAGACGGAACAUAUAUUAUGUACUGAAGAAACUCGAAAAUUUUCUAAGAACCAGUUGGUUGCUUUUGUUAUACUAGUAACCAUGCACGUGCAAUGCACUUCUCACAUAAAUUUACCUUUGACAUGCAAAGGAGCUCGGAGUAUAAUUCGUUGCACUUCUCACAGAAAUUUACCUUUGACAUGCAAAGGAGCUCGGAGUAUAAUUCUUUCAGUAAACGAAUCGGAAUGGUUGACUCUAAAAUCAACCUCUCAACUUCUGAAUUGCCAUCAAUCAAUUUCUAAAAAACUUGCCCUGUCAUGCAUAUCUGCAAACCCUGUUCCAAAAUAAAACUCUGGCCGUAUCAUGGGUGAGAAUUGGUGGCCUCCCGUUGAAUGGAGGCUCAAAAUAAUUGCAUCUUAUUGGGACCUUUGUUGGUUGUAGUCAAUUGAUACCAAUCAAAUGUAUAAUGCUUGGUACAAGGUCAAAGGGUAUCUAGAAAAAGGUAUAAUCGAUGACUUACCUGAAGCUCAUUAGUUACUUCAACUUCCCCAAUCACGCAGAGCUGCAAUUUUACUUUAUUUUCCAUACCUGGUACGUGUAGGCUUGAGGCUGAUCCAAAUUGCAUGAUGAAUACUGAACGCUCAUAUAUUUGAUCUUGUGACAACAACGUCAACGAAAAUGCUUCACACACGACAGUGUUUGGACGAUAACUGCACGAUCGAGGGAUCCAGCGGCCGCUGCUGGGCUGUGCUCGACAUUCUUCGGCUGGAUUUAACCGUCGUGCACAAGUCGUCCAAACUUUAUCGUCCCCAUAGCACUGCUCAAUGCUACCUCGAAAGUCACCUGGUAUCUUCACAUUCAUUAUAUUCCAUCACCUUUUGGUAUGGAUGUAUUUUUUUCUCGAAUACGCACGAGAGUGCGUACUAUAUAUAUUAAGAAGAAAGAGGGGUAAAGAGCCCUCCACAGUGUUUUUACACGCUAAUUACAUGCACACACACUCCACCUCCACCUUAUUUAUACCGUAGUUAACUAACUUGUCUCGUCUGCCCGCCUUUCCACCCGGUUCAAGAAAAUGGUUAGGUCGCCCUUGAGCAGCCCCGCUUGUUUCCAAUUCCAUCCUUCCUCCACGAAUUGUCGAAGCACAUGUGGAAUAGAUGGGGAAGCACCCUCAAAAACGAUGGUAUUGCGAUGCUUCCAAAUCUCCCACAUUGCUAAGACACGAAAGGCAUUGAGCAUUCUCUUGAGAGUCUCAUUUGAGUUUUGUGCCGCGCACCAACCAGCAAGCGUGUCCGUCAUCGUUGGUAUCCACCCGGGCUUGUCCAUGGCCUGAAAGAUCGCAGCCCAAACCUGCCUGGUAAAGCCACACCGAAUGAAAAGAUGAUCAAUGCUCUCCUCCUCCUGGCCGCAUAACGGGCAACUGUCUUGGUGGUCUAGUCCUCUCCUCGCCAGCCAGUCCGAGGCCCAGCAUCUGUUCUGGGUGGCCAGCCAUAAAAAGAAUCGGCAACGUAGCGGUGCCCUAGCUUUUCAUGUAAAGUCAAUUGUUUGAUCCACCUCUCUUCCCCAGAACUUUGCCGCGUAAGCUGAUCGCGUUGAGUAUAUGCCGUUUGUCUCCCAGCACCAGACCACACCAUCAUGUCUCGUUUCAUCCAGCGUUAUGCCAGCAACCCUAUUCCACAAUGCGAAGUACUCCUGCAGUGCCUCGGGGCUGAGCUCAGGGUUCACAUCUCUCAUCCAGGCAUUGUCAUGCAAUGCAGUGGCAACCGAGCAGGUUUUCCUCGUUCGGGGCCUCACACGGGCAUAGAUGUUGGGGGCGAUAUCAGCAACACAGAAACCAUCAAUCCAUCGAUCUUCCCAAAACCUUAUGCUCUGGCCACUGCCCACAGUUGGCCUCAUCGCCGAGAGAGCAAUCUGACGUGCGACGUUUGGGACUUGGAUUUGGAAUUCAGCCCAGGGCCGGUCCUUGUCGAAUUGCUGCAGCCAUGACCAUCGUGCUUGCAAGGCAAUAUUCAGCCAUUGUAGAUUGGGGAUGCCAAGUCCCCCUGCCCACUUAGGCGAACAAACCUUUUCCCACGCAGCAGCGCAGCUUCCGCCAUGCACAGAUGUAUCUGCAGCCCAUAGAAAGCCACGGCAGAUUUUGUUCAACGCAGCGAUUGUUUUCUUUGGUAAAUCAAGAGCCAGCAUUGCGUGCAGCGGCAUUGCGCAGAGGACCGAUUGUAUCAGCAGUAAUCUUCCACUCUUGGGCAUCUUAGAGGCCUUCCACUUCGGCAACGCACCCGCUAGUUGAUCCACAAGAUAAGACAGCUGUACUGCGGACUGCUUCCUGAGGGUGAGGGGCAGCCCCAAGUACUUGCAAGGGAAGGAUCCACUAGGGCAGCCAAAGGUCUGUUCCACCAUUUCCAUCAUUUCAGUCGAGCAUCUGAUCGGGAAUGCUGCAGAUUUUGCAAGGUUUAACUUGAGCCCCGAGGCUUCUCCAAAAGUUUGAAGUAGCAUCGCACAGGUGUGCAAAUCAAGCUCAUUUGGUUUGGUGAAGAAAAUCACGUCAUCGGCGAACAUUGAGAGUCGAUGCUUCAUUCCUGACCGCGCUAGGGGAGCUAGAAUGCCCCUCGCAGCCGCAAGCUUGAACAUGUGAUGCAACAGCUCCAUGAUCAUGAUAAAAAGCAUAGGAGAUAUUGGGUCGCCCUGCCUCAGUCCGAUCUGAUUUGAAAUUGGUCUUCCUGGCGUCCCAUUUACCAUGAUUCUAGUGGACGAAGUCGCAAGCAGCCCACAUAUCCAGUCCACCCAACGAGCGCCAAAACCCAUGGCAGUAAGUACUUCCACCAAGAAUGGCCAUUGCACCGAAUCGAAAGCUUUGGAGAUAUCCAGUUUGAGCAUAACUGCUAGUAUGGAUGUAUAAAAGUAAGGUUAUUAAUACUGUUACCCUGUAAUCUUAAAAUGUUGAUCCAAAACCCAGGGGGAAGUUCCUUGCUAUGAACUACUGUUUUUUGUGAUAUAUUCUUAAGGAAAAUAUAGCAAUAUUAGACCCCAAAAAAAAAACAGAAACUGGGAACCAAUCCAUGCAGGUAAAAGUAAAAAGAUUGAAAUAACAGUAAUGAUGCAUCAGCUUUGCUUGUUUCAUAAUGGCUAUUAAAAAAGGUGAAUUACAAUAUAGGUUUUUUCAUUUCUUUUAAUAAUGCGGUUGUAUGCAUUCUCAAAGCUCGUUAGUGCUGUUGUAUCGGUGCAAAGGUCGAGUGCAAUUGGUAUAUUUUCGAUAUUAGUAUAUUUCCCUUUGUCCGAGAAAAGCCGAAGCUUGGCAGUAGGAAAAUUCUGUUCCAUGCUCAUUGCGGGGAAUACUAUUGUUUUUUUUAACAUACCAAACUUUGUUCCUCAAAUAAUAGCCAUGUCGUUUACAGUCUGGGGUAGAAUAAAGUCAGGGGCAUCCCCCUCCCAAUAUUCUAAAGCAUUUAAACUAAAGCAAUGCUUAGCUAAACCAUCUGCCACUAGAUUUGCUUCCCUGUAGCAGUGGACAAAAGUAAUAUCAGAAAACUCCAAGGCUAAGAUAAUGGCUUCUGUAAUGAUCGGAGUAUCAGGACCCAUAUAUGCUUCCGGAUGAGCAAAUACCUCCAAAGCGUUCAUCUAUCGGAUUCCAUGAUAAUCUUGGUACAUCUGAUAUUAGACGCUAGCAUUAUUCCACUCCGAAUGACCUUGAUUUCUGCAGCUACUGCGGAUGAUAUGUGUGGAAAUAUCAGUGGCGAAAAAUCAAAUUGGGAGGACCAAACGUUGCUAAACCUUGUUUGGGAUGGCCAGAUCAUUAAAAUGCAUUGUUUUAAGAGCAAAAAUAUCAAUAUUUACACUUAGUANNNNNNNNNNNNNNNNNNNNNNNNNNNNNNNNNNNNNNNNNNNNNNNNNNNNNNNNNNNNNNNNNNNNNNNNNNNNNNNNNNNNNNNNNNNNNNNNNNNNNNNNNNNNNNNNNNNNNNNNNNNNNNNNNNNNNNNNNNNNNNNNNNNNNNNNNNNNNNNNNNNNNNNNNNNNNNNNNNNNNNNNNNNNNNNNNNGCUGCAAUAAAGUUGCCGUCCUCAUCCCUGGCUACAGCUCCGCAAGCUCCUAACAUUCUUUCAGCAUGAAAUGAUGUGUCCAUGUUGAUCUUAACAGUCCCUUGGUUUGGUUUCUUCCACAUAUGAUUAUCCUUCCGGCAAGGGUGUUUCGGCGUACAACUGCGGGGAAUACUAUUGUUUACGCAUACAAAAUGUCCACGCAGGAGAUAGCGGGCCGGCCGAUGUAUACAGUGUGGUUUUAUUCCGUUUCCUUUUUCUUUUCUUGUUCUGUAUUUUUCUUUGUUGGUCUUACCCCUUCAUAUUUUUCCUCCCCUUUUCCCAUUUCUUUUCAUUUUUCCAUUUUAACUCACGUACAUUUUUAAUAAAAAUGUCUUAAAUUCAUGAACAAUUUUUCAAAGCUAUGAGUUUUCAAAAUUAGUGAUAAUUUUUUUAAAUCCAUGAAUAUUUUUUAAUUAGCCAUCAUUUUUAUGUUAUUGGGUAUUUUUUAAAUUCCUAAAUAUUUUUCUAAGUCAUGAAUUUUUUUUUCAAUUUCUAUAAAAAAAUUAAAUCCAUCUACAUUAUUUUAAAUUAUUAACAUUUUUUCAAAUUCAUGAAGGUAUUGAGAAGUUUUUAAAAUUCAAAUAUCUGUAAAAAAACUGUUUUUUAAAUUAUUUUCACGAAUUUUGCAAGUCUGACAGAAAUAAAUGGUUACCCGAUAGAGGGAAAAUAUGGACGCAGCUAGGCAAAUCUUUCGAGGGGAAUGCAGCUUCCCCUAAAAAAAUAGAAGGGAACGUAGCGAGGCAAUUUUGUUGGAAUUCCCUAUUUGCCGCUCGUUGCGUCAAAAUGUCGAUGCAACGUACAGAGCUACAAAAGCUAAAAAGCAAGUUCUACAGGACGGCGGUUCGACCCGCAAUGUUGUAUGCCGCUGAGUGCUGGCCGACUAAAAGGCGACAUGUUCAACAGUUAGGUGUCGAGAAGAUGCAUAUGUUAAGAUGGAUGUGUGGCCACACGGGGAAGGAUCGAGUCCGGAAUGAUGAUAUACGAGAUAGAAUUGGGGUAGCACCAAUUGGAAAAAAGCUUGUCCAACAUCGUCUGAGAUGAUUUGGGCAUAUUCAGCGCAUGCCUCCAGAAGCUCCAGUGCAUAGCGAACGGCUAAAGCGUGCGGAGAAUGCCAAGAGAGGGCGGGGUAGACCGAAUUUGACUUGGAAGGAGUCUGUUAAGAGAGACCUGAAGGAUUGGAGUAUCACCAAAGAGCUAGCUAUGGACAGGGAUGCGUGGAAGCUUAUCCAUGUGCCAGAGACAUGAGUUGGUUGCGAAAUCUUAUGGGUUUCACCUCUAACCUACUCCAACUUGUUUUGGACUAAAUGCUUUGUUGUUGUUGUUGCAUGAAGGUUUUAUGAAUUCAUGAACAUUUUUAAAAUUCAUAAAUAUUUUCUAAGAAAUCAGGUUGUUUGAAUUUCACGAACUUUUCAAAUCUGGAAAAUAAAACGGUUACCUGAGCGAGGGGAACUACGGACGCGGCGAGGUAAUUGGGCCGCACCCCACGCAGCCCCAUAUUGUCAAUGAGAAAGCGAGAGGCCCAUUUUGUCCAGCCCAACUGAUUGGUACUUCGGGAGAGUCCCAAUCCGCAAACCCUUGACCACUGACUGGCCGCCGGCCCCUUUCCUCUCCGCCCUUCUCCUCUACGGCGAUCGCCCGGCCGCCCAGCUGCUCACCGCCAGCGCUCUCGGUAAGGCCAAAUCCUCCUCGGCACAGCCCCGUCUGAAUCUAUCGUCGAUUUGGUGCCCUCGAUUGCUCACCCACGGCAUCUACUUACCACAGCCGACGGCGAUGUCGUCUUCGGAGCCGCGCCCGCGCCCCGCCGCCUCCUUCUCCGGCGACCUGCCCGAGGACGCGCUGUACGAGGUCCUCCUCCGCAUCCCGGCCAAGGAGCUCUGCCGCCUCCGCGCCGUCUGCCCGGCCUGGCGCGCCCUCACCUCCGACCCGCCCUUCGUCGCGGCACACAUGUCCCGACACCGCACGGCGCCCCCGCUCCUCGCCAUUGCCUACCGCGACGGCAGUGAGGUCAACGGCGUUGCGAUUUCGGAUCUGUCGGGCAACGUCGUGAGGCGGAUUCCAGUCACCGGGUAUGAGAUUGUUACGGUGAACGAGUCGGGUGAUGCCGUUGGCCGGAUCUCAAGCAAGGACGAGCAUGAUAGCAUCUGUGUCGUGCGCAGCCGGCUAGACCUCGUGUGUUUCCACUGGAAUGUGUACUCUAGGACCUUCUGGGUGCUGAACCCGGUCACUGGAGCUGCUCUCGACUUACCGAUGGGCCACUCAAAGGAAUUGGAGCAUGAGCUGGAGGUACAGGGAAGGAAAUGGGGCUGCCAUGUCGAGUGGUGCGCUUUUGGGAAGGUCUCCUCUACCAGAGAGUACAAGGCGCUCCGCAUCUGCAGCAUUCUAGACCGGCAGGUAUGUGAGGUUAUCACCUUUGAUGACACCAACCAUGGAAGCUGGAGGAGAAAGCAGGACCCUCCGUCCCGUAUCUGUACCGGUCGCCAGAUGAGAUGUGUGGUCAUCGAUGGGGUGGUCUACUUCUUGAUGGAUUUUCACUACACUUACUUUGAAACCGGGGUUAUAACCAUUGAGCCUGGUAGCAUAGCUUCGUUCAACCUCGAGACGGAGGAGUGGGGUGUUCUAC
rnacentral:lncRNA from 1 species